rfam:Rattus norvegicus chromosome 12, whole genome shotgun sequence.
GGGGAUUUAGCUCAGUGGUAGAGCGCUUGCCUAGCAAGCGCAAGGCCCUGGGUUCGGUCCCCAGCUCCA